UACGUAGGGCGCAAGCGUUGUCCGGAAUUAUUGGGCGUAAAGAGCUCGUAGGCGGCCUGUUGCGUCCGCUGUGAAAUCCCGGGGCUCAACCCCGGGCCUGCAGUGGAUACGGGCUGGCUAGAGGCAGGCAGGGGAGAACGGAAUUCCUGGUGUAGCGGUGAAAUGCGCAGAUAUCAGGAGGAACACCGGUGGCGAAGGCGGCGACCUGGUCCGAUACUGACGCUGAGGCGCGAAAGCGUGGGGAGCAAACAGG
rnacentral:rRNA from 1 species